AACGAACGCUGGCGGCAUGCCUAACACAUGCAAGUCGAACGAGACCUUCUGGUCUCGUGGCGCACGGGUGCUUAACGCGUGGGAACCUGCCCUUAGGUUCGGAAUAACUCCCCGAAAGGGGGGCUAAUACCGGAUAAUGUCUUCGGACCAAAGAUUUAUCGCCUUUGGAUGGGCCCGCGUUGUAUUAGCUGGUUGGUAGGGUAAAAGCCUACCAAGGCGACGAUCCAUAGCUGGUCUGAGAGGAUGAUCAGCCACACUGGGACUGAGACACGGCCCAGACUCCUACGAGAGGAAGAAGUGGGGAAUAUUGGACAAUGGGCGAAAGACUGAUCCAGCAAUGCCGCGUGAGUGAUGAAGGCCUUAGGGUUGUAAAGCUCUUUUAACCGGGAUGAUAAUGACAGUACCGGGAGAAUAAGCCCCGGCUAACUACGUG
rnacentral:rRNA from 1 species